rnacentral:rRNA from 1 species
GACGAAUGCUGGCGGCGUGCUUAACACAUGCAAGUCGAACGGAAAGGCCCUGCUUUUGUGGGGUGCUCGAGUGGCGAACGGGUGAGUAACACGUGAGUAACCUGCCCUUGACUUUGGGAUAACUUCAGGAAACUGGGGCUAAUACCGGAUAGGAGCUCCUGCUGCAUGGUGGGGGUUGGAAAGUUUCGGCGGUUGGGGAUGGACUCGCGGCUUAUCAGCUUGUUGGUGGGGUAGUGGCUUACCAAGGCUUUGACGGGUAGCCGGCCUGAGAGGGUGACCGGCCACAUUGGGACUGAGAUACGGCCCAGACUCCUACGGGAGGCAGCAGUGGGGAAUAUUGCACAAUGGGCGGAAGCCUGAUGCAGCAACGCCGCGUGCGGGAUGACGGCCUUCGGGUUGUAAACCGCUUUCGCCUGUGACGAAGCGUGAGUGACGGUAAUGGGUAAAGAAGCACCGGCUAACUACGU